rnacentral:rRNA from 1 species
CCCUUAGAAGUCCGGGGCCGCACGCGCGCUACACUGAAGGAAUCAGCGUGGCUUUCUCCCUGACCCGAAAGGGUUGGGAAACCCGUUGAAUCUCCUUCGUGAUAGGGAUUGGGGCUUGAAAUUGUUCCCCAUGAACGAGGAAUUCCCAGUAAGCGCGAGUCAUAAGCUCGCAUUGAUUACGUCCCUGCCCUUUGUACACACCGCCCGUCGCACCUACCGAUUGAAUGUUUCGGUGAAGAUUCCGGAUAGGACUUUUUUGAUUUAUUUCAAUUUUGUCUUAAAAGCUAUCUAAACCUCAACAUUUAGAGGAAGGUGAAGUCGUAACA